rnacentral:rRNA from 1 species
UACGUAGGAUGCAAGCGUUGUCCGGAAUUAUUGGGCGUAAAGAGCGAGCAGGCGGUUCGACAAGUCAGAUGUAAAAUAUCCCGGCUUAACCGGGAGGGGCCAUUUGAAACUGUCGGACUAGAGUGGAGCAGAGGAUAGUGGAAUUCCCGGUGUAGUGGUGAAAUGCGUAGAUAUCGGGAGGAACACCAGUGGCGAAGGCGGCGAUCUGGGAAGAUACUGACGCUGAGGUGCGAAAGCGUGGGGAGCAAACAGG